AGUAACACACCAAGCAAGAUCCUUUUGUUCCUGUUUCUAUAAAAGUACGAAGGUGUAUCAUACAGCUCUGGGUAUCCACAUACAGCGACGAUGAUUUUGAUCCACCUAGUGGGCUAAAGUCAGUCACACCUUUGCUUUCUUCCAAAUAACGCACCCCAGACAGCACACGUACGUCUGGCCGACGUCGGCCCAAUAUCGAACCGUCGGCCUCACUACCUGAAACAUCAAAUAAACAUCGGCCAGGCGUAGGUCGAUAUAAUUCGGUCAGUGCUCUGUUUUCCAGCUCAUCAGUCGUCGGCCCUGAGUCGGUUCACGACCGCAGGCCGAUGCCGCGCUUUUCUGUUUGCUGCGAGCCCAGUUAUUUGUCUCUUAGCAACCCACAGAGAGAAGACACUCAUCCUGGCUACAUCUGUGCUUUCAGGCUGCCAGAAAGAACCCGUCUCUAAACGGUGAGCUAUUGUUGCUGUUGCUUUUUGAACUACAAAUUGAGUUUUAAGUUCAUUAUUGAAUAUUAAUUGAACGAGACUGUAAUUUAUUAAUGUAAUAUUUUAAUCCUAUAUGUUUAUUUGUGUAAAUGCUGUGUACGCGUUGAGCUCUGCGCGAGCGGGGAGCAGAGUUGCCAUGGAAACGGGGCGUUGACACAACUACUGGCGAACAGUAAUCUCCGUCUCUCGCUGCGGUUUUCACUGAUUUCAGGAGGACAGAAAGAAACUCUACAUAACAGAAGGGAAGCUCCAAGAUUUCAACAUUUCUGAAGGGAGCUACUGACUUAGAAAAAUACAGAUUCUUCAGUGGUGAUGGCCUGCUGCACCCAGCAGAGUUGGAG